rnacentral:rRNA from 1 species
AUUGAACGCUGGCGGCAGGCCUAACACAUGCAAGUCGAACGGUAACAGGAAGAAGCUUGCUUCUUUGCUGACGAGUGGCGGACGGGUGAGUAAUGUCUGGGAAACUGCCUGAUGGAGGGGGAUAACUACUGGAAACGGUAGCUAAUACCGCAUAACGUCGCAAGACCAAAAGGGGGAACUUCCGGCCUCUUGCCAUCCGAUGUGGCCAGAUGGGAUUAGCUAGUAGGUGGGGUAACGGCCCACCUAGGCGACGAUCCCUAGCUGGUCUGAGAGGAUGACCAGCCACACUGGAACUGAGACACGGUCCAGACUCCUACGGGAGGCAGCAGUGGGGAAUAUUGCACAAUGGGCGCAAGCCUGAUGCAGCCAUGCCGCGUGUAUGAAGAAGGCCUUCGGGUUGUAAAGUACUUUCAGCGGGGAGGAAGGGAGUAAAGUUAAUACCUUUGCUCAUUGACGUUACCCGCAGAAGAAGCACCGGCUAACUCCGUG